rnacentral:rRNA from 1 species
GUGGGGAAUAUUGGACAAUGGGCGAAAGCCUGAUCCAGCCAUGCCGCGUGUGUGAAGAAGGUCUUCGGAUUGUAAAGCACUUUAAGUUGGGAGGAAGGGUAGUAAACUAAUACGUUGCUACUUUGACGUUACCGACAGAAUAAGCACCGGCUAACUUCGUGCCAGCAGCCGCGGUAAUACGAAGGGUGCAAGCGUUAAUCGGAAUUACUGGGCGUAAAGCGCGCGUAGGUGGUUCAGUAAGUUGGAAGUGAAAUCCCCGGGCUCAACCGGGGAACUGCUUUCAAAACUGCUGAGCUAGAGUACGGUAGAGGGUGGUGGAAUUUCCUGUGUAGCGGUGAAAUGCGUAGAUAUAGGAAGGAACACCAGUGGCGAAGGCGACCACCUGGACUGAUACUGACACUGAGGUGCGAAAGCGUGGGGAGCAAACAGGAUUAGAAACCCUGGUAGUCC